CAAUCCUGGAGGAGCAACCAAUCCUAGACUCUGUAUGGAAACACAACAGAAGAUUUGAAUAUUUUUUGGGGUUCUCUGGGCACAAUGGAAAAAAUGUAGACAUCUUUACCUAAACAAAGUAAAUGUCUUUCUAUGCUAUCUACUUGAAGAGUCCCUCAUGAAAAAUCUGAAAAGAAAACUACUGGAGCAUAUAUAGUGAACUUGUUUCAUUUGGACAUUUGUCUUAAAGCUUUCUGAGUCAUGUUUAUCUCUUGCAGACCACAUUGUUUUUAAUGGAAGGAAAUUUUAUGUUCAAAUAAUGUUUUGUGUGCAUGUAUUAUACUUUAUUUUGUUUUAAGUUAAAGUCAAAUAUUUGGUUGAUGCUUUAUAUGUGGUUGGGCUGGCCACUUUAUUUUGUAUGGUUUUUAUUCUACAAUGAAAAGACUUUUUUAACUGCAGGAAUGGCUAUUUCACUGAUUUGAUUAGACUGUGAUAGUAAGGGGUUUAAUACAUAGAUUUAUUUUUUAAUAUUGAAAUAAUUGCCCCUUUUUUUAUUUAGAUGCUAAACCAGUGGUUUUAUUUUGUUCAUUUCUCCUUUCUCUUUUCUUUCAAUGACACAUCCAUAUGUUUUUUUAAAAGUUGUUUGCUCUUCUGGCUUUUGUUAAUAUGAAGUCUUUGUAAUGUGCUUUAGCCAUCUUUCUGUGCCAAGUUGGUGUGGAGUGUAUGCUUCCAUUGGUUGGGCUGUGUGCUUGUCUUCAUUAUUGCUUCUGUGCCAAGUAGUAAGAGUUAUGUCCUUUUGUUCUAAAUGUAUCCUCAAACACACAAUGACAAUGGAAGAAUGUGCUUGUUAUGUUUCAUUAUUUAUGUUUCUCUGUACACUGAAGUCAUCCAAUAGACAGAUGUUCAUGUGGAACUCACAAGUCUGAUGACCUGAAACCA